rnacentral:rRNA from 1 species
AGUCGAGGGGUGUAGUUCUUCGGAACUAGAGACCGGCGCACGGGUGCGUAUCGCGUAUGCAAUCUACCUUUUACAGAGGGAUAGCCCAGAGAAAUUUGGAUUAAUACCUCAUAGUAUGCAGAGUUGGCAUCAACACUGCAUUAAAGUCACAACGGUAAAAGAUGAGCAUGCGUCCCAUUAGUUAGUUGGUAAGGUAACGGCUUACCAAGGCGACGAUGGGUAGGGGUCCUGAGAGGGAGAUCCCCCACACUGGUACUGAGACACGGACCAGACUCCUACGGGAGGCAGCAGUGAGGAAUAUUGGUCAAUGGACGCAAGUCUGAACCAGCCAUGCCGCGUGCAGGAUGACGGUCCUAUGGAUUGUAAACUGCUUUUGUACGAGAAGAAACCCUCCAACGUGUUGGAGCUUGACGGUAUCGUAAGAAUAAGGAUCGGCUAACUCCGUGCCAGCAGCCGCGGUAAUACGGAGGAUCCAAGCGUUAUCCGGAAUCAUUGGGUUUAAAGGGUCCGUAGGCGGUUUAGUAAGUCAGUGGUGAAAGCCCAUCGCUCAACGGUGGAACGGCCAUUGAUACUGCUAGACUUGAAUUAUUAGGAAGUAACUAGAAUAUGUAGUGUAGCGGUGAAAUGCUUAGAGAUUACAUGGAAUACCAAUUGCGAAGGCAGGUUACUACUAAUGGAUUGACGCUGAUGGACGAAAGCGUGGGUAGCGAACAGGAUUAGAUACCCUGGUAGUCCACGCCGUANACGAUGGAUACUAGCUGUUGGGAGCAAUCUCAGUGGCUAAGCGAAAGUGAUAAGUAUCCCACCUGGGGAGUACGUUUCGCAGAAUGAAACUCAAAGGAAUUGACG